GGUCGGGGUCUUAGAAAGUAGAAUUUUAGAUCUAGUAAGAGUUUUAAGAUUUCUUACAAUUUAUUAGUUGGAUUGAAGUGAAAGUUAUGUAUGUAGGUAGUAGUCUUAUUUUUUUAAGUAUAUGAAAAUUUUGAAAUCAAUUAAAUGAUGCAAAAAGGAGAUGUUAGCUUUAAAAGCUCAAUAUCAAGGUUAGGAAAGGAGGUCAACCAACAUUUGAGAAAAUUUUAGGAUUUUUCUUUCAUUAGAUAAGUAUGAUUUUUUUUCAAAUUUGUUGUACUUAUUUGUAAUUAAGAGAUUUAGAGGUAUGUAAAUUUAUAAAUAAAAUCAAUGGUUUAAUUAAAAGAUAUUGAGAUUCUAAACUACCUUAAGAUUUGAUUAGGAUUUGAUUUAGAAUUUAGGAUUUGGUUAGGGUUUGAUUUAGGAUUUAGGAUUUGACUUAGAAUUAGGAUUUGGUUAGGAUUUGGUUAAGAUUUGGUUUAGGAUUUAAGAUUUGGUUAAGAUUUUAUUAGAAUUUGAUUUAAAGAUUAAGAUUUAUCUAGGAUUUGUUUUAGAAUUUGAGAUUUGAUUUUGAAUUUAAGAUUUAGGAUUUGUCUAGGAUUUGAUUGAAGUCUAUUAGGAUUUCAAUUAGGAUUAAAUUAAAACUUCAUUGAGAUUUAUUUAAGAUAUAUUUUAAUGAUUUUAAUAUUUUUAAAGAAUUCUUAAGGAUUCUUUUAAGGUUUAUUGCGGAUUAUCUUUCAACUCCUUUAAGAUUUCUUAUUAUUUCUUUUAUAAUUUCUUUAAAGUUUCUUUUGAAUUUGAUUAAAGAUUGUUUAACAUUUUUAA
rnacentral:lncRNA from 1 species